AGCCGAACUAAGGUGAAACCGCGAAUGGCUCAUUAAAUCAGUUAUGGUUCCUUAGAUCGUACCAAAUUACUUGGAUAACUGUGGUAAUUCUAGAGCUAAUACAUGCAAACAGAGUCCCGACCAGAAAUGGAAGGGACGCUUUUAUUAGAUCAAAACCAAUCGGUCGGCUCGUCCGGUCCGUUUGCCUUGGUGACUCUGAAUAACUUUGGGCUGAUCGCACGGUCCUGGUACCGGCGACGCAUCUUUCAAAUGUCUGCCUUAUCAACUGUCGAUGGUAGGUUCUGCGCCUACCAUGGUUGUAACGGGUAACGGGGAAUCAGGGUUCGAUUCCGGAGAGGGAGCCUGAGAAACGGCUACCACAUCCAAGGAAGGCAGCAGGCGCGCAAAUUACCCACUCCCGGCACGGGGAGGUAGUGACGAAAAAUAACGAUACGGGACUCAUCCGAGGCCCCGUAAUCGGAAUGAAUACACUUUAAAUCCUUUAAUGAGUAUCCAUUGGAGGGCAAGUCUGGUGCCAGCAGCCGCGGUAAUUCCAGCUCCAAUAGCGUAUAUUAAAGUUGUUGCGGUUAAAAAGCUCGUAGUUGGAUUUGUGUCCCACGCUGUCGGUUCAUCGCUCGUCGGUGUCUAACUGGCAUGAUUCGUGGGACGUCCUGCCGGUGGUGGCGAGUCGAAAGCGUGCACCCGUUGUGGUCUCCACUUCGGUUCUUGGGCGCCGUAGGCGGACCCCGAUGAAAUCCUACCGCGGUGCUCUUCACCGAGUGUCGAGGUGGGCCGGCACGUUUACUUUGAACAAAUUAGAGUGCUUAAAGCAGGCCUGUUGCGCCUGAAUACUGUGUGCAUGGCAAUAAUGGAAUAGGACCUCGGUUCUAUUUUGUUGGUUUUCGGAACCCGAGGUAAUGAUUAAUAGGGACAGGCGGGGGCAUUC
rnacentral:rRNA from 1 species